UACGUAGGGUGCGAGCGUUGUCCGGAAUUAUUGGGCGUAAAGAGCUCGUAGGCGGUUUGUCACGUCGGAUGUGAAACCCCGGGGCUUAACUCCGGGCCUGCAUUCGAUACGGGCUGACUAGAGUUCGGCAGGGGAGACUGGAAUUCCUGGUGUAGCGGUGAAAUGCGCAGAUAUCAGGAGGAACACCGGUGGCGAAGGCGGUUCUCUGGGCAUGUCCUGACGCUGAGGAGCGAAAGUGUGGGGAGCGAACAGG
rnacentral:rRNA from 1 species